rnacentral:rRNA from 1 species
CCUACGGGAGGCAGCAGUGGGGAAUAUUGGGCAAUGGGCGCAAGCCUGACCCAGCAACGCCGCGUGAAGGAAGAAGGCUUUCGGGUUGUAAACUUCUUUUCUCAGGGACGAAGAAAGUGACGGUACCUGAGUAAUAAGCCACGGCUAAAUACGUGCCCGCAGCCGCGGUAAUCCGUAGGCGGCAAGCGUUAUCCGGAUUUACUGGGUGUAAAGGGCGCGUAGGCGGGAAAGCAAGUCAGAUGUGAAAACCAUGGGCUCAACCUGUGGACUGCAUUUGAAACUGUUUUUCUUGAGUACUGGAGAGGCAGACGGAAUUCCUAGUGUAGCGGUGAAAUGCGUAGAUAUUAGGAGGAACACCAGUGGCGAAGGCAGUCUGCUGAACAGCAACUGACGCUGAGGCGCGAAAGCGUGGGGAGCAAACAGGAUUAGAUACCCGUGUAGUC